UGGGGAAUAUUGCACAAUGGAGGGAACUCUGAUGCAGCGACGCCGCGUGAACGAAGAAGGCUUUCGAGUCGUAAAGUUCUUUUAUAUGGGAAGAUACUGACGGUACCAUAAGAAAAAGCGCCGGCCAACUACGUUACAGCAGACGCGGUAAUACGUAGGGGGGUAGCGUUGUCCGGAAUCACUGGGCUUAACGGGUUCGCAGGCGGAAAUGCAAGUCAGGUGUAAAAGGCAGUAGCUUAACUACUGUAAGCAUUUGAAACUGCAUAUCUUGAGAAGAGUAGAGGUAAGUGGAAUUUUUAGUGUAGCGGUGAAAUGCGUAGAUAUUAAAAAGAAUACCGGUGGCGAAGGCGAGUUACUGGGCUGAUUCUGACGCUGAGGAACGAAAGCGUGGGUAGCAAACAGG
rnacentral:rRNA from 1 species